UACAGAGGGUGCGAGCGUUAAUCGGAAUUACUGGGCGUAAAGCGUGCGUAGACGGUUAUUUAAGUCGGGUGUGAAAGCCCCGGGCUCAACCUGGGGAUUGCAUUCGAGACUGAAUAGCUAGGGUACGGUAGAGGGAAGCGGAAUUUCCGGUGUAGCGGUGAAAUGCGUAGAUAUCGGAAGGAACAUCAGUGGCGAAAGCGGCUUCCUGGACCAGUACCGACGUCAGGCACGAAAGCGUGGGGAGCAAACAGG
rnacentral:rRNA from 1 species